GACGAACGCUGGCGGCGUGCUUAACACAUGCAAGUCGAACGGAAAGGCCCUGCUUUUGUGGGGUGCUCGAGUGGCGAACGGGUGAGUAACACGUGAGUAACCUGCCCUUGACUUUGGGAUAACUUCAGGAAACUGGGGCUAAUACCGGAUAGGAGCUCCUGAUGCAUGGUGGGGGUUGGAAAGUUUCGGCGGUUGGGGAUGGACUCGCGGCUUAUCAGCUUGUUGGUGGGGUAGUGGCUUACCAAGGCUUUGACGGGUAGCCGGCCUGAGAGGGUGACCGGCCACAUUGGGACUGAGAUACGGCCCAGACUCCUACGGGAGGCAGAAGUGGGGAAUAUUGCACAAUGGGCGGAAGCCUGAUGCAGCAACGCCGCGUGCGGGAUGACGGCCUUCGGGUUGUAAACCGCUUUCGCCUGUGACGAAGCGUGAGUGACGGUAAUGGGUAAAGAAGCACCGGCUAACUACGUG
rnacentral:rRNA from 1 species